AGUCCCCGGCGCCAUUUUCCCUGAGCGCCGGUCCCCGUGGGGAGGAGCGAGGCGUCCCCUCCCCGCUCGGUUCGCCCCGCCUCAGGGUCGGCCCGACGCCCCCGAUCCCCACAAUCUGCUCGGCCUGCGCCUUGUCCGGCCUUUCCUCCCCGAGGAGGAAGAAGGAGCAGCAGCCAACGGCCCCCCGGCCCCGCCUCCCUCCCUUCCUCCCGCCCCCCUUCUCUCUCCAUUGUCUUUUGCCGGCCUGUCUCCUCCCGUCAGCUGUGAGCUUUUUAAAAGGAGCUUGAAGUUCUCACAGUACCCGACGCCAUCGUCCUCAGCGCUCUGGCCCAAGCGCUUAACAACGUCUGCUUUUCGGGAGCACCUUUACCCCCACGGCCCGCUCGUGUUUUCGACUCUCUGCUGCUUUAUCGCGCUCAACCGAGCGCUUACUACAGUGCUGUGCACACACCCUUAGGUGGAAAUAUGCAAGAAAGAGGGGGGAUCAUGCUCCCCAGUUACCACCUACUCUGGUUUAUUUGCCUGCUGAUGUUUGGUUUGGACCCUCUCGUUUGUGCCUUGCUGGAAUCCGCCCUUGACAGAGGUGUCAACCUGAAGGUUCGUUACGUCAGUAAACUGAACAGCAGCCAUGGUUACUGUGAAAAGAAAAUGAAAAUGGUGUCAUUUGAUGCAUGGAGUCUUUCAACAGAAAAGCUAGGAAUCUUGCCAAUAGAUCCUAUUGGAGAAAACUAUGUACGUGAAGUGAAACACUGCAUUUUUUCCAUUGUCUAUCCUACUCCUUUCCAAUCAAGAGUACAUCUGGCAGCAGUUUCAAAGGAAGUUUUGGAAGACAUUUUAGAUCUUGAUGUAUCGAUCUCCAAGACAGAUGAUUUUAUACAACUCGUAAGUGGUGGGAAAAUAGUGUCGGAAUCUAUUCCACUGGCCCACAGAUAUGGAGGUCAUCAGUUUGGAACCUGGGCAGGACAGCUUGGGGAUGGAAGAGCCCAUCUUAUUGGCAUUUACACCAACAGGCAUGGUGAGCAAUGGGAACUCCAGUUAAAAGGCUCAGGAAGGACCCCAUACUCAAGAAAUGGUGAUGGAAGAGCUGUGCUUCGUUCCUCGGUGAGAGAGUUUUUAGGUAGUGAGGCCAUGCAUUAUCUUGGGAUUCCAACAAGCAGAGCUGUAAGCCUAGUUGUUAGUUAUGAUGAUGUAUGGAGAGAUCAAUUCUACAAUGGAAACAGAGGAAAAGAAAGAGGUGCAGUAGUCCUGCGUAUUGCAAAAUCAUGGUUUCGUAUUGGAUCAUUAGAAAUUUUGGCUCAUUAUGGGGAAAAGGAUUUAUUAAGGACAUUAUUAGAUUUUGUCAUACAGGAACAUUUUACUUCAGUAGAUGUGAAUGAUCACAACAGCUACUUGGAUUUUUUCUCGGCUGUUGUGUCUGAAACCACAAGUCUUAUUGCUUUAUGGAUGUCUGUGGGUUUUGCUCAUGGCGUUUGUAAUACUGAUAACUUCAGUUUGUUGUCCAUUACAAUAGAUUAUGGUCCUUUUGGUUUUAUGGAAUCCUACGAUCCAAAUUUUGUUCCAAACGCAUCUGAUGAUGAAAGGAGAUAUAAAAUAGGCAAUCAGGCCAGUGUUGGGUUGUUUAAUCUGAACAAGCUAUUACAAGUUCUAAAUCCUUUAUUGGAUCCUGGACAGAAACAGCUUGCUGUCCAGAUUCUUGAGAAAUAUCCUGAUCUUUAUAAUAAAAGAAUUAAGGAGCUCUUCAAAGCCAAAUUGGGUUUCCUUGGAGAGAGGAAAGGUGAUGGUUAUUUGAUUGCAUUUCUUCUGCGACUCAUGGAAGAGACGAAAGCUGAUUUUACAAUGACAUUUCGGCAGCUCAGUGAAAUUACUCAGGAGCAGCUUCAGGAGCUCAACAUUCCUCAGGAAUUUUGGGCAUUGAAGGACAUUUCAGAACAUAAGCUCUUUCCUGACUGGGUGACCAUGUAUCUUUUGAGACUGAAGAGUAACUUGGAUGACUCAGAUGCUAAGAGAAGAAAAAGGAUGACAAGUGUCAACCCUAGAUAUGUACUUAAGAACUGGAUGGCAGAAUCUGCGGUGAGAAAAGCCGAAAUGAAUGAUUUUUCAGAGGUUCGUUUUCUCCAUCAAGUUCUCCAGCAUCCUUUCCAGAAGCAAACUGCAGCAGAGAAAGCAGGAUACUCUUCCCCUUCCCCUUUCUGGGCCAAAGAUCUCCGGGUCAGCUGUUCAUCUUGAUAAAGAGCUCCCCUUUAGGACUUUGCAAAUGAUGUUCCAGAAGCUUCGAACCUUUUUAUGCUAAACCCGAGUUAAGACUUCUUUCAUCUAAUUUUGUGUAUCGGAUUCCUGAAAAGUCUGUGUUAAAAGAAAUGGAGCAGUCUUCAGAAAACAGUUCGGUCUCCUUAGAGAUCCUACAGAGAAGACCGACGGAGGCCAAUCUGGAGGAGGAAACCCUUUACAUUCUACAGAUAACCUUCUGAUUUUAAAAAAGCCAUGGGGAGGACAUUCAGAAACAGGAAAUAUACCGAAUACAGAUCUGAUUCUGCUCCUCCUCGGAUUGACGAAACAUUCUCGAGACACAAAACCCGGCAAAACCGCAUCUGCCACAUUACUCCUGGUUCUGCUCUUUGCUUCAGUCUGAGAAACCUAUUUUAGUACUUUUGAGUGGACUUCAGCUAUAUCCAAGGUAGGUCAGGGGAACAUGUAUGGGUUCAGAUAAUCUCAUUUGCUAUUUAAAACACACCAGGGAAUCUGUGUGAUUUUGAAAACCGCUUAACGAAUUACAAUUGGUGCUGUCUACACACAACCGCUCCGUGAACAUACCUUAGCCACGUUGAAGUCUUGCUGUGCUUCUUGCAAAACCGAGCUAACAGAGUGGGUGGUCUGGGGGAUCUGUCCAUUUGGCUGCCCAGGACCUGCAGAUGCAGAAAGAGGAUAAGGACAUCAAUCUGUAGUCACUAGGACUUCCCUUAUAUUGCCUUAUCCCUGUUUUAGUGGGUUAGAGCAUAGGAAAUGUUCUUUCUCCCCAGUGAAUGGGAGAGUCUGCGUUGGAUUUGCAUUUCCUGAAGCUCCAGGGGUACUGCUUCAGGUCUGUAGUGCCACCCAGAGACUAUGCUGCCACAUUCCUCUUUUGCACUCUCUCUAGGGUGGCAGAGGAAGGGAGUCAGGCUUCUCUGCUGCCUUCUUGAGUGCCACAGGACACCACUGACCCAGAGAUUAAACUGGAAAUGGUUCCUGGGUACACUGAGCACUGGUACUGCUUCCGUUGCCCAUGCCUCUGCUACCCAUGGAGGCCAGCAAGGGCAGAGGAGAGAGCUGGAGAGGGCCCAGUAUGGUAGUUCAGGUCCUCAGAGCAGUCACUGUGCCACUUCCAGUUUAUCCUCAGGUUGGUGGUGCCUAGGUUGAGCACCACCUCUAAGCAGCAUUCCAGCCUGGGAAUCCUAGCAACCUGAACCAAUGGUCAGCAGGCUCCUUCUCCAUUCCGACACGGGAAGUUACACUGCAAGGAAGGCCCUAUUCCCCCCAAACACACAGCAUCCCUGCAUUCAUCCAUUCAGUCGCAUUUGUUGCAUGCCUUAGCCGGUACAAGGAAAGGAAAAACCAUGGUCUUUACUCUUGAGAAGCCUGCAAUCUGUGGGAGAUGGGUAAACAAACUGCAUACAUAUAAAAGAAAGUGGGGUGAAAGCUGUAGAUUCAGUUCAUAGUAGUUAAGAGUAUUGAAAAAUUAACACGGAAAUGGAGUAUGGAAAUAUCUAUAUACAGUGCAUUGGGUGGCUCUUAAGACGAUCUGACCAGAAGUGGUGGAAAUUCAGGUGAGACAUGCCUCAUGGAAGAGACUUUAUCAGGAGGGCCUUGGUCUGGCAGCUUUGAAGAGGGAAAAUCCAGGCUGGAUCAGAAACAGGAGAGAUGAAUUGGUUCAGUUAGAUUAGUUAGCGAGGAACAAAGAUGACAAGUGAGGGUGUAGUGGAUGAAAAGAACAGAUGUAGGAAGAGCCGGAAGAGGACUCCUGCACCCAUAAUUGGCAUAAUCAAGAGUUUACUAUUCUGUCAACCUGCCAGGGAGAGUAGCCUUCACAUUCAAACUUAAUGAAAUGUGUUAGACAAAAAGCUUUUCCCGAAAACUUGUAACUACAACACUGCAAGAAAAACCCACAUAACUACCCAAAUGGAUACCUUAGAAUGGCAGGAUAGGCUUAUUAUUUCUUCAUUAUUUCCAGUAAAGCCUGCUUACUUAAAAACCUCAUAAUCCUCUACAGUAAUUUUUUGUCAGCUCCUUUGCUUCCUGUCCCCUUAUGACAAAUGGAGCUUUUUGGGAUAAUCUUCUGAUAAAGGCUUACGGAGCUUCAAAAAAGCAAACAAAAAGCCACCAUCAUUUUGAUUAGCCAUGCUUUUCCUAGGGACUCCUGAAGGGAAGACUCAGGAAGGCAGACUGAAAGAAUGGAAUAUGUUAUUUUUUAAAGAAAGGCAGGUAGGAACUAAAAAAAAAUAAAUCAGAACUCAAAUCUCAAAUACGUUUACACAGGGAGGAAACUUUGGGAGAAGACACCUUCAAAGGAAUAAAAAUAACCCCAUUAUUGAAAGGAGAGGGAGGUCGCCAGAAUUUGCUCUCCUUUGGCUGUAUCUGUAUCUAUAGCUUGAUAGAUAUAGAUACAUACACGGAGGAUUUCUGUUUGGAAAUCUCUCUCACCUGCUCACUUAAUUCAGGGCUAUUAAAGUGAAUAUUUGGAGUGAGUAUUACAGAUGAAGAUUUUAUCACUGCAAGAACAAUGCCACAUUAAUGGUAUUAGCAGUAUAUUUUUCUAUUGGACUAAUGAACGUAUGGUUAAACUUCACAAAGCACUAAAAAUUGUGUUCUUGGGAAAUACCAGGCUCGUCAAUGGAAAAUACAGAGCUAUGUUCUUGGGUUUCAUAAUUUAUACACCUAAAAAAAUCAUUUGAUGAGAAUAAACCCCAAAUUUAAAGUG